GAAUUACUCUUGGAGUAGCAAUUGCUGGAUGUGCCUCUUUUGUUGAGGUGAUUGGAUCUUUUGGCAAAAACCAGUGACUGCAAAGGAUGAGAGAAACGAUCAGAAAAACUGAAAAGCUGUAGGAGACCAAACACUAGUGUCUCCCCUGCUUCAGGGGACACCCACUGUCAGAGUGAACGACAAAGACGCGCGUGGAUGAUUUGAAGAUAUUAGCCUAACAAGAUGGAAGCAGGUUUAAAAUUUUACAUAAGAAGUUACCUUUUUCAGCUGGUCCUAUAGUACCCCUCCUCAGGAAUGUCUCCCCAGUGCAAGGACAAAGACUGAAGAGACUGCUAUAUUGAUGGACUCUCAAGCCAACUAUGAAGUUGAAACAAAGAAAGUGAUCACCUGAAGACACCUCCUCUGCUAAGAAACACCCCCAAAUUGUGCAGCUUCUGCCACUAGAACUCUCAGAACAAGAGACAAUCUUUUCAAGAAACAGAAAAACUCAAUAAUGACAUCUAGAUUUUCAUGAGCCAAGAACUUUCCCUUCCUCAUGUGUAUUCCUCUGUUUGUACUUAAAUUCAUGUGACAUUCAUUUUUUUCCUAGUAUGGAUAUGCUUAUUAAUGCACUUGUUUCAAAAUCCCAAAUUGCACAAAUGUGUUAAUAUUUUAAGAAACAAAAUGAAUCCUACAAGGAGAAUGAUUUUUAGCCACACAUAGGGUUGGAUCUUGAGAGUGACCUACAGAAUAAAAGUACUUUUAAAAUAAAGUAGUCAGAGGCUAUUCAAAGGGUAAAAUAAUCAUAGUACCACAUUGGUCCACUUGACACUAACCAAUCGAUCAUUUUUUUUUAAUCAAGAAAGCUAGAUUCUAUCAGAUAAAAUCACUGCUUCUAAAGAGUUUAAAUCUAGUUAGAAAAAGUUAUAGAAAUGUUUGCAAAGAUAAGUAACAGAUAGAGUCAGUAGAGGAUAAGAUCAAAAACAAAACCAAGCAAAAGAUGAGUUCAGGGGAGUUUGCCAUCAAGUUGGCAAAACUGACUUACUUAGGGAAGAAAGUUAUAAAACAGGAAAAUAUGAGAUGAACCUUGAGUGAUGUGGAAGAUUUAGAUAAAUGGAAAGGAAGGAGAAAAUGGAGUUCUUUAGGUGGUUGUAAUUGGAGGAGGAAAUGAAUACACACAUCUUGUUGACUUAAACCCAGACAUUCAGCAGCUCUCUAUACAUAUCUGGAAAAGACUGCACAGUCACCUCCUGUCUCUCACCCCAGGUAUUACUUAGAAUUAUUAUCAUAUUUCCCUUCCUUUAAAGUAAGUAAGGGUGAUUGGUGACAAUAUGGAGAACUAUGAUUUUUCCAUUAACCUAAUAAUAAUUGGUAUUUAUUGAGUUCUGUUAAGCAUUUUACAUAUUAACUCACUUAAGCCUUUCAACAGCCUUGCAAAAUAGGUAUUAUUAUCCCCAUUUUACAGGCAAGAAAACUGAGGUUUAAGUAACUUGCCGAAGUGCCAUAUACAGGGCUCACAUUCAGUAUUGCAGUUGCAAAGCUCAUGAUCUAUAGUGCCAAGUUGCAAUAUUGUAGUCAAUGUCACAAUUAUUACCCCUUUUUAUAUUCCUUGAUAUUUUUCCAUGGCAAACAAUUAGCUAUUUCAUUUAAUAAUCACCUAAAACUUUUCAGUCUUCUGAUUAAAAUUACGCUGGAGUGAUAGAAUGUAUUUUCAUGAUAGAAAUUGGGAAAAAAAAUGGGGAAUGAAGUUUAUCAGCAUUUCAGACUUGUUUUUUUUUUUUUUUUUUGCAAGACUUUGAUGAGAUUGUUCACUUUUGUCUAUGUAAAAUCCCAAAUCCUUGAGAAUAAAAAAGGGGGAGGUUUAAGUCACUUGUUGCAAUGCCCUUUUUAAUAGAGGCAAUAAAUCUAAAGGCCAUAAAUUUAGAGUGACUUACAGAAGAUCGAACUUUGGAGUGUGGCAGAGUAAGGGAUGGAAACCGGGCCCUCCAGUUCACUAUCAGUAGCUUUUGCACUGGUCUGCCCUUCCUAAAUUAAGUAUGCACUUCAAUUUGAUGAGUGGAAACAGUCUAUCUGGGCAGUAACCAGGGAGCUUUGUGCCUAGUAGAUUGCUUCUGUUCUGCACUUCUUUGGUUUCCCACCUCAAUGUAAAAAAUAGCUAGCAAUGAAGUCCAGAAGUUGUCAAUGGUUCAUCCCCAGAAGAAUGCAUAAUGUCCAAAGUUGUAUGUGUAUGAUGUCUUCAAUGGUAUUAAGUUAUUUCAAAUUCUUAGUUCACCUACAUAAAUCAUUUCUAACAAGCAUCUUCUUAACCAACUUUAUGCACAGUGUAUGUUUGUAAGUGCUUCUGCACGAAUGUUUAUACAUGACUGUUUCCAUAGUACUUAUGUUUUUAAAAAUAUUCAGUCAUUUCCUACUAUAAUCCUCAUGUAUCCAUGUAACUGACUCAAAAAUACUUCAGCCACAGAAAGCUAAAACUGAGCAAAUCUCAUUCUUCUUUUCCAUCCCCUUUGCAUGUGGCUGGCAUUUAGUAAUGAUUAAUAAUAUGGCCAGCUGAAUAACAGAGGUUUGAGACACAAUUCUUUCUCAAAGGAGUCAGCUAAGCUGGGUCUACUUAUGGACAAACAUCUAAAUGUGUGGAAGUAUCUGAUAUUUGACAAUGGUAAAUUUCCACUUAGCUAGCUAGCAUUGUCAGACUUCAAUCUCCUCAUGGCUCUGGCCGUCCUGUUUUAAGCAUGAUAAUUGUUGGCCACAUCUCACAUAGUUCUCAUUGAGUGAGUUCAUAAAUAAACAGGGUUUUUUUUUUUUUUUAAAGAGCAGCCAAGCAC
ensembl:lncRNA MIR100HG mir-100-let-7a-2-mir-125b-1 cluster host gene